rnacentral:rRNA from 1 species
GUGAGGAAUAUUGGGCAAUGGGGGGAACCCUGACCCAGCCAUGCCGCGUGAGGGAUGUAGGCCCUACGGGUCGUGAACCUCUUUUGUUCGGGGACAAGGACGCCCACGCGAUGGGUGUUUGCGGGUACCGGACGAAUAAGCAUCGGCUAACUCCGUGCCAGCAGCCGCGGUAAUACGGAGGAUGCGAGCGUUAUCCGGAUUCAUUGGGUUUAAAGGGUGCGCAGGCGGCCCGGUAAGUCAGCGGUGAAAGUCAGGGGCCCAACCCCGGAAGUGCCGUUGAUACUGUCGGGCUGGAAUGCGGUCGAGGCGGGCGGAAUGUGGUGUGUAGCGGUGAAAUGCAUAGAUAUGCCACAGAACGCCGAUAGCGAAGGCAGCUCGCCAGGCCUGCAUUGACGCUCGGGCACGAAAGCGUGGGGAUCAAACAGG